rfam:Macellibacteroides sp. HH-ZS contig_00003, whole genome shotgun sequence.
GCCCGGGUGGCGGAAUUGGUAGACGCGCUAGUUUCAGGUACUAGUGUAAGUAAUUACGUGCAGGUUCGAGUCCUGUUCCGGGCA